rnacentral:rRNA from 1 species
UAGGGAAUCUUCCGCAAUGGGCGAAAGCUUGACGGAGCAACGCCGCGUGAGUGAUGAAGGUCUUCGGAUCGUAAAACUCUGUUAUUAGGGAAGAACAAAUGUGUAAGUAACUAUGCACGUCUUGACGGUACCUAAUCAGAAAGCCACGGCUAACUACGUGCCAGCAGCCGCGGUAAUACGUAGGUGGCAAGCGUUAUCCGGAAUUAUUGGGCGUAAAGCGCGCGUAGGCGGUUUUUUAAGUCUGAUGUGAAAGCCCACGGCUCAACCGUGGAGGGUCAUUGGAAACUGGAAAACUUGAGUGCAGAAGAGGAAAGUGGAAUUCCAUGUGUAGCGGUGAAAUGCGUAGAUAUAUGGAGGAACACCAGUGGCGAAGGCGACUCUCUGGUCUGUAACUGACGCUGAGGCUCGAAAGCGUGGGUAGCAAACAGG